rnacentral:snRNA from 1 species
GGAUGUGAGGGCAAUCUGGCUGCAAUAUCUUUCACCCCAUUGAUUUCCAGGGUUGAUUUGGUUGAUCUGGCUGGCUAGGUAGAUGUCUCCUUCUUCCCUCACCACUCCAUGUGCAUCCCUACCAAAACUGUGCACUCGGUCAAAGAGGACAGCCAUCCCUGAUAGAGAAGGACUGGUCUUCAGUCAAGGGUAUAUCAGUAGCUAUAUCCCCUUCUAGAACCUCCAAAUAAGCUCUCAAGGUCAAUUUGUAGGAGAACAUAGUGUAGUCAAGCUUCCAAGACUCCAGACACAUCCAAAUGAGGUGCUGCAUGUGGCAGUUUGCCUUUAUAA